rnacentral:tRNA from 1 species
UUUAAGAAAAAUUUUAAUUUUGCAAAUUAAUAUAAUCUUAAAA